CCUACGGGAGGCAGCAGUGGGGAAUAUUGCACAAUGGGCGCAAGCCUGAUGCAGCCAUGCCGCGUGUAUGAAGAAGGCCUUCGGGUUGUAAAGUACUUUCAGCGGGGAGGAAGGGAGUGAGGUUAAUAACCUUAUUCAUUGACGUUACCCGCAGAAGAAGCACCGGCUAACUCCGUGCCAGCAGCCGCGGUAAUACGGAGGGUGCAAGCGUUAAUCGGAAUUACUGGGCGUAAAGCGCACGCAGGCGGUCUGUCAAGUCGGAUGUGAAAUCCCCGGGCUCAACCUGGGAACUGCAUUCGAAACUGGCAGGCUGGAGUCUUGUAGAGGGGGGUAGAAUUCCAGGUGUAGCGGUGAAAUGCGUAGAGAUCUGGAGGAAUACCGGUGGCGAAGGCGGCCCCCUGGACAAAGACUGACGCUCAGGUGCGAAAGCGUGGGGAGCAAACAGGAUUAGAUACCCUAGUAGUC
rnacentral:rRNA from 1 species